rnacentral:sRNA from 1 species
UCAUAGCCCCGAUAAAAGCGGCAUCCUUUUUUGUUUUUCUUUUGUUUUCUUUUUUAUGACAAAACGUUCUUAACAAAAAAGAUACAGCGGAUAGCGGGAAGCAGC